UUCGGAAAGCCGGCGGGCGAGCCCACCCGACCGGGGCCCCACACCAAAGAGAGGGCAAAACCUUACAGCCGAAACCUUUACAACUGCACCACGUUUUUACCCUACAUCUUCCAGGCUGGAUUUCCGCCCCGCAGCAAAAGGGACUUGGGGGGGGGGGGGGGGGGGCGCUCUGCGCGCGGUUCCUUUUGUGGCGGGGGCGCGGGCCGUGGCCGAGACACCCCCCACCACCACCACACCCACAAAAGCCCCGGCGCCUGGCCCUUUUACUCGGCGACGGCGGCAGACCUUACCACCGGCCACGACCCCCCCCGAGCCAAACGGGAUGGUUCCGCCAAGCCUUUCCCCUUGCGCCCCGCAGGCUUGAAACCCAACCAAAAAAAAAAACGCGGACACACCCCUGGCAGCGAACAGGGGACGAAGCGGGCCAUCUGCCCCCGGGCAAAAAAAAAAAGCAACCCCGGCAAACACACAUCGCAUACACGAACAUACCCGGUACGGCGCGCCCGCCCGCCCGCCCCCCCCCCCGGCCCACGAAAGCGACCGCCCUUUGAUCAGAUCACCAUGGAGCUUUACGAUUCCGCUUUCGAGAAGGGCAUGGCGGAGAAGAUGGCAGAGAUCAGGCGACCAAGCCCAAACCUGACGAGCCCACCCUCGAAAACACGGUUGCGGCACUGGGGCGGGGCGGGGCGCCGCUUGGGCGCGCACGUCUGGCCUUCCAAAACCCCUGCCCCGCAGACGCAAAACCGGAAAUGCAAAAUCCGGAGCAGGCCCACGCACCAAAGUUCCCCGCCCACACGGACAAGAUCUACCCCGAUGGCGCCUUUUACAACCUCAUCAAGGCUGUGCACGACGAGCGUUCCAGCCCCGCUGGUGAAGACUUGCGGCUGGUUUGAAAAUACGCCGAAGGGUUUCGCAGGGCCGGCGCCGGCCUUGGCAACGCAGCGAAGGAGAAGCCGAGGCAAGCGAACGAGCGCCCCGCCAACCCCAAGAGCGGUUUCGCAGAAGGGGGACGGACACACGGGGGACCGCGCUGCUUGUUGUGGGUGGCGCCGCCCGGGCUUGGGGGCCCCGGCGUGGUAGGGGCCACGCGCCCCAAGAAGGGGGCAAGGAACGUUUGCUAUACGGAAGGAAAGCGUUUAUUAACGCAAAAGGGGGCGCCGCAGCAGCCGCUAGCGUCUCUGAGAGGCCGCGGGGGGCACCACAACCCGUUUUAGGCAAGGGCCCAGCGCGCCGGACGCGGUGACGCGAAGGACACAAGCGCCAUCACCGUGGAGAUUGCGCAGCUGCGGCUGAGAAAGGCAAAGCCGCUCGGCAAGAAGAGCUUUUCCGAGCGGCAGCUGCAGAACCAGAUGGCCGGCCCGGCAUCCGCGGAGGCCUUGCUGCGCGAUAUGGGCGAUGCGGCGGCGUCGAAGGUGAAGAGGGAGGCGGCUGACAUCAAGCAGAUGAUUCGCGAGGAGGGUGGGGACUUCGAGCUGGCGCCCUGGGACUGGAAGUACUACGCGGAGCGAGUACGCAAGCAGCGGUACGACCUCGACGAGAACGAAACGAAGCCGUACUUUGAGCUGAACAACGUGCUUGAGCGUGGCGUGUUCUACACGGCGGAGAAGCUGUACGGUGUGACGAUGCAGCGGCGCACGGAUCUGCCGGUGCACCACCCCGACGCCAUGUCGUUUGAGAUGUUUGACUGCAUGGGUGAGUCACUCGCCAUUUUCUGCCUUGACUCUUACGCGCGCGCAAGCAAGCGUGGUGGUUGGUGGAUGACCUUCUAUGCUCGCCAGAGCCCCCUCCUUGGCCAGAAUCCGGCCGUGCACAUUGUACUAAACGUUGUGAAGCCGGCUGAAGGCAGGCCAACCUUGCCGAGCCGCAGCGACGUGACGACGCUCUUCCAUGAGUUCGGCCACGGACUGCACGGCAUGCUAAGCAACCCCAAGUACUCGACUCUUUCCGGCACAAGCGUCGCCCGUGACUUCCUCGAGUUUCCAUCGCAGAUCAACGAGCACUGGGCAAUGUACAACGCCGUGUUGAAGAACUACGCCAUUCGCUACGAAACCAAAAAGCCGAUCCCGCAGGCGCUGGUGGAUCGCAUGAAGGCGGCCGAGACAUACGGCGCGGCUUCCACACCAUCGAGGUGGUCAAGGCGGCGUACCUCGAUCUUUGCUGGCACCUGGUUGCGGAGGAAACGGCUGCGCCACCACAAGCGCAGGUGGAGGAGGCGGCGAUGAAGUCCUUUGGUGUUGGGAUGACCGAAGUGCCGCCGCGCUACCACAGCGGGUACUUCAUGUACACUUUCUCUGGCGGAUAUGCGUCGAACUACUACGUUUACCAGUGGGCGCGUGUGCUGGACUGCGACGGGUUCGAGUGGUUCCUGGAGAACGGCGGGCUGACGCGCGAGAACGGUGACCACCUGCGUGCGUGCGUGCUCUCUGUGGGCAACUCGGUGGACGCGAACGUUGCGUACGAGAAGUUCGCCGGCCGCAAGGCAAACACGAAGGCGUUCUUGCGCAUCAACGGCCUGCUGGACAAAUAGCCUCGUUGGUGCUAGUGUGCGCGCAACCCCGCUCUUAUCUGUUAUUUUUCUCUUUGGGGCGUUGUUGGUGCUCCGUGCGUGUUCGCCGCUAACGCGUCAGCGUUGGUACGGUUGGGGUUCGGCAUGAAGCCGGCCACCCCAACCCGGCGUCCCAGCUCCAUACCCCCCGAUGGGGGCGGCCGAAAGCCCGCGAACAUGCCUUUCGGGGCGGGCGAGCGCGGCGUCGGCCCCGGAAGAAAGACCCUUUUUCAGCAGCAUGGCCUGGAUGGGGGCCUUGGCCGCCCCCCAUUUAUGCGCCGCCCCGCCCCCGCUAAUAGCCACGCGCGGCGUCAUCACCCACGCGCGCGUUUGGCGGCCAGACGCUUGUGCGCGGCGCGGCGGUGCAGAGCGUAGCCUGGGGCCUAUCUUAAGAGGUGCGAAGCGGGGUGUACGCGGUACGCCAAAAGAAAAGCGCAUUCUCCAUCGGGGCGUCUCGGCGAUGACCUCGUCGUGUGGUGUGUGCUUUCCGCGAUACAUUUUGCUGUGAACGCGUGCGCUUCUUUCAAAGUAAGAUGGAUUUAGGCACUAUGCCCUGACACGCCAAGAUGGCGGGGUGUCCAUCCUCGUCCGCGAUGGGGCGCGGUGGCCGCCGGCGCGCGUGCUUUGCGGCCCGGCUUCGGGCUUGUCUGCCACACUCUGACCCCCGCCUGACUAGUUGACUGUGAAGAUGGUCGCCUCGUACGCGGCAAAAGGCCGGCACGUCACCCCGUAGAUGCUGCCGCCGAUGUCCGCCAAGAUCCCGACCGGCGCACCGGUUAUGUUUUCCAUGGAUGCGAGCUUCAACAGUCUCCUUUCCGACGUCUCUCAGUCGCCGGGGGCGCAUGGCGAACGCCUGGCGCAGCGGGGUGCGGAUAUGAAGCUGGGGCGCGUCGGCUCCGGCGCCCGGCGUGGGGUUCGGCGGGGGAUGUUUGGUGCGGUCAUGGGCGGCCCGGUUCGCCCCAGACAGUGUUUGCGCACGGGCACAAAUGAGCGCAGUGUGCUUGGCCAGACCCUGGGCGGACCGAUCGCCUUCGAGUCCCGCCGCCUUCACAGCUGGAAGAAGGCGGGCUGGCUGGGGUUUCUGCGUUGCGCGUGUCGCCGCUUACGCCUGGGAGGCCACCGCUUUGAGGACUAGAGUUUGGCCAACGCGGCGAAAAACGUUUCCGGAUCGUUCGCCAUUGCCUGUGGCGCAGGCGGUCGCACCGGCGUCGCGUAACCCCGCGCCCCCGGUCGCACACUGCGGGCACUUCCCCCCUACGUGCGCGCAUCCCCGUGCACACGCUGGCCGCGGAUGUAGCGAAGAUCACCCGUGCCGGCGUCAAGCGCGAUGUUUCCCCGCGCGGUUGCGAAGCGCACCCUCUUUUUGGCGCCGGAGUUCACCAGGAUGAGGAAAGCGAAUACCAGGUGCCGUGGCCUGCCCCUCGCUUGGCGGCUUGCCCCACUGCCGCCGUCGACGCCGGAAGAUCGCCAUGGGCUGGUUGCGGGACACGCGACCCCCCCCCACUUGGAGCCAACAGCCGCCGGCAGCUGGCACAUCGCCAAGCCUUUCUACGCCCACCGCCCGCGGGUCUUCCCUUUGAUGGUCGUCAGCGGCGCCCCAUCGAACGCCAAGACCCGGACCAACGACCAACCCGCGAUGUGCGCCAAGCAAUGGGCGCGGCACGUCGGCGCGCCCACCUUCAUAUGACCCCGCCCCCCCGCCACCGCUUUCCCCCUUUUCUCCCCAGCGGAGCUCGAGAAGGCGUUGCGCGAAAUGCGUCUCGGGCCCGCCCCCGGUCCGGCUCAUAUGCGCUUCGGGGCAAUUUGUGAGCUCCCCCAUGUGGGGCUUUGCCCGCUGUUCACGCUAUAAAGCCCAUCGGUUGUCCGUGGUCAGGUGCCCGAUGCGUGAAGGCUGGGCACGUUCACCUCACACCGAAGGCUGGCAAACCUCGCAAAGACCUCCUCCCCCACAGACCCGUUACGCUGACGAGAAAUUCGUGCAAGAUCCUAGAACGCAUGACCCCCCGAUGCAUCCAGACCACCCAUUGAGCCCAGGGCACCCCCGCAACAGACGGGCUUCCGCUUGCAGAGGUCUACGCGGGACCCCGCGCUGUGUCUGGCGUCGCGCAUUCUUUCCCGAGAGCGGGGGACAAGGCGGGCGUGGCCCUGAUCUACGAAGCCCGGGGUUUUCACCCAUUAGACCACCGCCGCCCCACUGGCACGCCGGGGCGCUACGGGGCGCGCCCGUGGCGGAUCUUUCGGGAUUUGCAUUUUAUCCCAGCCAGCGCCCCCCGCGCGCAGGCGCGCAGGCGCACAGCCCCAACCCACGCACCGCCCGCCGGCCCGCGGUGCCCAAAGGGAACCGGUUCCCCGCCCUUUACCCAUCAUCAUCGCGAUGAGCCCCCCCACGGCAGGCGCCCCAACACGCCCUUAGGGGGCGAACACGCCCCCUUUGCCGAUGAUUGCGCCACCAUUACGUGUGGCUCGGCGCACCCUCGGGGCCGCCCGGGGCGCCUUUGCAGGGUGGGAAAAAACCGCUUCAUGGAACCCAGAAAACCCCAAACUGACUACACGCUGCUGUAGUUAACGCGGCUUGGCAAGCUCACACUCACAGCGAGCGGGGUCGCCAGCACGGAGGACAGGCGCCCACGUAGAUCGGACCUUGCGCGCCGAGCGCCUGCGCCUGCCGCGGCUCCGUGCCGUCGCGCCGCCUUCCUUGGGGCCCGGAAGGGGAACCAAGCGCCCCC
rnacentral:misc_RNA from 1 species